rnacentral:rRNA from 1 species
AUGAGCUCAAGCUUAAAAUCUCCGUGCAAUUUUUGCACGGCGAAUUGUAGUCUAUAGAGGCGUGGUCAGUAUAAGCACUUGGGGUAAGUUCCUUGGAAAAGGACAGCAUGGAGGGUGAUACUCCCGUUCAUCUCUAAGUUGCUUGUGCGUACGACCCGUUUUCUUUGAGUCGCGUUGUUUGAGAAUGCAGCGCAAAGUAGGUGGUAAAUUCCAUCUAAAGCUAAAUAUUGGUGCGAGACCGAUAGCAAACAAGUACCGUGAGGGAAAGAUGAAAAGAACUUUGAAAAUAGAGUUAAAGAGUACCUGAAACUGCUGAAAGGGAACCAAAUCGUUUCCAGUGUCUAUAAUCCGUGGUAUAUUUCAUUGGCGA